UACGUAGGGAGCUAGCGUUGUCCGGAAUCAUUGGGCGUAAAGCGCGCGUAGGCGGCCCGGUAAGUCCGCUGUGAAAGUCAAAGGCUCAACCUUUGAAUGUCAGCGGAUACUGCCGGGCUAGAGUCCGGAAGAGGCGAGUGGAACUCCUGGUGUAGCGGUGGAAUGCGCAGAUAUCAGGAAGAACACCAACGGCGAAGGCAGCUCGCUGGGACGGAACUGACGCUAAGGCGCAAAAGCGUGGGGAGCGAACAGG
rnacentral:rRNA from 1 species